UUCAUAAAAAAUUAAGAAAGGUCCAUAGGGUUGAUAAAUAUUGGAAAUUCAAUUCUAGUUAAAAGGUUUGAUUGGUCUUUGGAUCACAUGCAAAUUAAAUAGGCUAAAAGCCAAGGUCAUGCAGUGAAUGAAUUUAGAUUGGCUUAUGCAAGUAAGGACUAGGGAAAGACUAUAAGGUUUGGUCAAAGUCGUGCCAGCUACCGCGGUUAGACGUGGGAACCGAUUAAAUUAAAUCAAGGGAUAUAAUGAAAACGAAUUAUUGGUGUAUAGGAAGGGGAAAAAGGAUGAAAUCGAUAAAUUCUUUUAGAGGCCAAACGUUGUGUGGGUUAAUGAACCAUUUGAAAAUGAACGGGAUUAGAUACCCCGGUAAUUUAUGCAGGAGACACCUAUAGUAGUAAGAGUUACAGGCUUGAAACUAAAAGAAGAUGGCGGUAUCGUGGUCCAUUCGGAGGAACUUGUUCCUUAAUCGACAUUCCACGAGGAAAGGUACUAUGCUUUAUGGUUUGUAUACCGUUGUCGUCAGAGAAUCCUUCCUGGGAAUACUCUAAAAAGGUUUAUUGAACCAUGAAGUCAAAUCAAGGUGCAGCUGAUAGUGUAGGGAGAAUGAGUUACAAUAAAGAAUAUUUAUAACGAAUUGAGGAUUGUAAAAGGGAAUUGAAGGUGGAUUCGAAUGUAAAACCCUCUAUGAAAAAAAAGGGUUUGAGUCAGGCUCCAUGGUAUGCACACAUCGCCCGUCGCUCUCAUAUAAUCAUUGAGAUAAGUCGUAACAAAGUAGUUGUACCGGAAGGUGCACCUAGAAAGAUAUAAAUUAAAAAAAAA
rnacentral:ncRNA from 1 species